rnacentral:rRNA from 1 species
GACGAACGCUGGCGGCGUGCUUAACACAUGCAAGUCGAACGGAAAGGCCCUGCUUGUGGGGGGUGCUCGAGUGGCGAACGGGUGAGUAACACGUGAGUAACCUGCCCUUGACUUUGGGAUAACUUCAGGAAACGGGGGAUAAUACCGGAUAGGAGCUCCUGCUGCAGGGGGGGGGUUGGAAAGUUUCGGCGGGUGGGGGUGGACUCGCGGCUUAUCAGCUUGUUGGUGGGGGAGUGGCUUACCAAGGCGUGGACGGGUAGCCGGCCUGAGUGGGUGACCGGCCACAUUGGGACUGGGAUACGGCCCAGCCUCCUACGGGAGGCAGCAGUGGGGAAUAUUGCACAAUGGGCGGAAGCCUGAUGCAGCAACGCCGCGUGCGGGAUGACGGCCUUCGGGUGGUAAACCGCUUUCGCCUGUGCCGAAGCGUGAGUGACGGUAAUGGGUAAAGAAGCACCGGCUAACUACGUG